AUUGAACGCUGGCGGCAGGCCUAACACAUGCAAGUCGAGCGGAUGAAGGGAGCUUGCUCCUGGAUUCAGCGGCGGACGGGUGAGUAAUGCCUAGGAAUCUGCCUGGUAGUGGGGGAUAGCGUCCGGAAACGGGCGCUAAUACCGCAUACGUCCUGAGGGAGAAAGUGGGGGAUCUUCGGACCUCACGCUAUCAGAUGAGCCUAGGUCGGAUUAGCUAGUUGGUGGGGUAAAGGCCUACCAAGGCGACGAUCCGUAACUGGUCUGAGAGGAUGAUCAGUCACACUGGAACUUAGACACGGUCCAGGCUCCUACGGGAGGCAGCAGUGGGGAAUAUUGGACAAUGGGCGAAAGCCUGAUCCAGCCAUGCCGCGUGUGUGAAGAAGGUCUUCGGAUUGUAAAGCACUUUAAGUUGGGAGGAAGGGCAGUAAGUUAAUACCUUGCUGUUUUGACGUUACCAACAGAAUAAGCACCGGCUAACUUCGUG
rnacentral:rRNA from 1 species